AAGGGGAGCCGACACAGGUGUUGCAUGGCUUUCUUCAGUUCGUGUCGUGAGAUGUUGGGUUAAGUCCCGCAACGAGCGCAACCCUCGCCCCUAGUUGCCAACGGAUCAUGCCGGGAAUUUUAGGGGGACUGCCCCGGUUAACGGGGAGGAAGGUGGGGAGGACGUCAAGUCAUCAUGGCCUUUAUUUCCAGGGGUCCCCACUUGUUACAAGGCCCGUUCAAAGGGGUGGCAAACCGGGA
rnacentral:rRNA from 1 species